GGGAAAUCCACUCGCCUAACGAGUGGGCGUCCGGCGGAAACUCCAUGGCUUGGGACCGGAAGACUUGAGGGGUACGUCUGGGGUAGGAGUGAAAUCCUGUAAUCCUGGACGGACCGCCGAUAGCGAAAGCACCUCAAGACGACGGAUCCGACAGUGAGGGACGAAAGCUAGGGUCUCGAACCGGAUUAGAUACCCGGGUA
rnacentral:rRNA from 1 species